GAAAUGCGAUAAGUAAUGUGAAUUGCAGAAUUCAGUGAUUCAUCGAAUCUUUGAACGCACAUUGCGCCCGCCAGUAUUCUGGCGGGCAUGCCUGUUCGAGCGUCAUUUCAACCCUCAAGCCCUGCUUGGUGUUGGGGAUCGGCGUUGCCUCCUCCGUCGUUCGCGGCGGGGUGAGGUCGCCGCCCCCGAAAUGAAUUGGCGGUCUCGUCGCAGCUUUCCUUUGCGUAGUAACAUACCACCUCGCAACCAGGAGCGCGGCGCGGCCACUGCCGUAAAACGCCCAACUUUUUCAAGAGUUGACCUCGAAUCAGGUAGGAAUACCCGCUGAACUUAAGC
rnacentral:misc_RNA from 1 species